CUUCAUAUCCCAUAAGGGACUCUUCAUCCUCACUCUCUCUGCACCUCAACUCCUGGGCCAGAGGAGCCUUAAUCUGCUUCGCUUAUCUUAAGGCGGCUGAAUGUAUGACACCCGAGAUCUGUGGAUGAUUCCGGACAGCUGUAGGCUUCCUCACUUUAUAUCACAUUUUAUAGAACUAGCGCGUUUCGCGCCAUACUGAAUCUAGCUUCACCAACUUACUACGUUGGUUAACUUACCACAGUUCCACAUAGAGGGCGCUGUUCGGUGUUGCCGCAGGUGAAUUAGUAUUGUGGCAUCGGAUUUUCGCGUCCGUCGCGACAGGGUUAUUAUGAAACUUAUAAUUAACAUGCAUUUUAUUGAAAGGCUGGAAUUUUAUUUAUCUUGAAAUCUUGACCAUGGUCAUAUGUUUGACUGGACGGUACACGGCAAUGUUAUUAUUACUAAUAUAUUUCAUAACACUAGACUUAUUCAAUCCUAAGUAACCUAUUAGCUUCUCAUUCGUGUGCGGUAUAUAUCAGCGUUUGGUAGUAUCAUAAUAGUCAAAUCUGGUGUUGGUUGUUGUUAAUAGUUAAAUGUUCAUAAAAUUUGACAACUUAUUAUAGUUAUAUUUUGUGUGAGUCAGUUAUCAUAACAGAAAUAAGAUAUAAAGCUGUUAAUACCGUAAAUUGUGUAUGGAUAUGUUUGACUCAAAUUCUGUAUUCCCACAAUAAG